GUACUUCACCACCCAGCUCCUGGCUCUCUGAUAUCCUUCGUGAACAUUGGACUGACCUCUGGGCAGCUGAGAGGAAAUGGCGGAAAUCUAAAGAUCCAGCAGAUCUAGAACAAGCUGCUGGAUGACAAUCAGUCAGGCUUCAAAAGUGGACACACGAAACUGCCCUGCUGUCUGUCAAUGAGUCGCAGAGACAGGCGAAAGCUGAAUCCAGAUCAUCCGUCCUGAUUCUACUGGACCUUUCUGCAGCCUUCGACACAGUCAACCAUCAGAUCUUACUCUCCACCCUGUCUUCGCUGGGCAUCACAGGAACUGUGCGUGACUGGUUUAAUUCCUAUCUCUCAGCCCAACAACACCACAGUGACUGCUCGAAUCUCUGCCUGCCUGGCAGACAUCUCGGCCUGGAUGAAGGAACACCAACUGCAACUUAACCCAGCCAAGACCGAACUCCUUGUCUUUCCAGCCAACCCUGCUGUUGAACACAACAUCACCGUGCAGCUGGGUGCAACUACAGUAACGCCUUCCAAAAUGGUCAGAA